rnacentral:sRNA from 1 species
UUUUUUUUGUCCCUGGGAAUUUCACGUAACCACAAAACUGCCAUUAAUAUUGAGAACUAGAAUUUCUCCGCAAUCUAUUUUAUUGGGCCAAGCAUUUACAGUCAUAUCUAGCACAAUGGACAUAAUUGUCGUAAAGUUAAAUUGCAGACUUAGCCCGUAACGUAGUUUCUUGAAACUGUAAUUUAUUACAUUUAGAAUGAUUGAAUUUUUUUUAUUUUUUUUUAAUAUAAUGUUAAAUUAUAUUCAAAAGAAAAAUUAUCUUUUUUUACAACAUGUGCAACUUGUUUGAAAUGAAGCUGAAAGUUUAGAAUUGAAAUGAAAAUUUAGAAACUAGAAGUGAUUAGGCUCUUGUAUCAAACCACAUUUGGAGUCCCGCAUCGUAGUGUCUAUCUCCCUUUAUUCGAAUUGAUGAAAGAAUGUUUCUCACUUGUUUGUCGAUCCAACCAAUUAGCCGAGUUGCUGAAUGCAGAGUGUUCCCAUGUCGUCUUCUGUUGCGUUCGCUCCAGAUUGAGUAAACCGAAGCUUGAAAGGCAUAACGCACAAGAAAGUUUUCAACUCGAUUUUGCUGUAAACUAGAAACCGUGUUAAGGAGGAGGUGCCAAUCCGUUGUGAAACGCGUCGUUAGAAUGUUCUUUGCUGUGACUGUCCAGACUUCAGAAGAAUAGGGGCAGUUAAAAAAGAGGUGAUCACGAGAUUUUGUGGGAUGAUUGCAGAAGACACAUGAUCCUGAAGAAACCCCUUUCCAAUUAGCCAUUCGAUCUCCCGUAGAGAGGCGAUCCAAAGCUGCAAGCCAAACACAGAAAGAAAAUUUUGGAGUCGCUUGAUAAAACCAUACUCCUUUGUACCAUGUAACCUUGGUCGCAGUGGUUCGAAUAUUGUUCCAAGUAUCUCGUGUAGAGAACUGUGGUUUAUAAAUGUCAUUUCUUCCUCGCCAAACCACAUCAUCUGCUUUCUCCUUGCGGUUCGCCUUUGAUGUAGCUAUGACGUUUUCUACUUGAUUUAAAUAGUCUGUUAUGUGCCUUCGGCUGCGAUGUGUGUCCCAAACCUCAGCCACUAACUUAUCUCUUUUAAUGCCCAGGUCAAUAAUACCUUUAUCUCCGAUGAAGUUCAUUAUUCUGCCCAUACAAGACCAGUCAUCAUACCAAAACGAUGUGCGUUGACCAUUGUGUACUUCAAUCUUACUAAAAGUUUUUGCCACUUCUCGGUACUUUAGAAGCUUCUUCCACAUCCAUGAUCCCAUCGUUGUGGAGCUUUUUAUUAUCCAGAAAGAGUUAUUUUUCAAGAGAUUCGUUUCUAUCCACUUUACCCACAGUGAGUCUCCAUGGGAUAAUAUUCGCCAAAUCAGCUUCAGACAACAGACAUCAUUUGCUUCUUUCAAAGAUCGCAGUCCAAGGCCUCCCUCCUGUUUCGGUUUACAAAUUGCUUCCCACGCCACUUUAGCUUUGCAAGAGCUAAAAUGACCAUAAAAAAAGCAGAGCAUAUUUUGUUUAUUUCCCUGAGACAGGCACGUGGAAGUCGAAAUGCGGCCAUCAAGAAAUUUGUGAUGCUCGAUAAGACCGAACUGAUCAAGUUUAGUCUUCCAGCAUAGGAGAGAAAACGUGAUGUCCAAGUACCAAUUCUGUGUCGAAUUUGUUCUAUGAGAGGAAGAGAAUCCGCAGAUGAAAGGCGUUUUGUGACCAAAGGGAGCCCUAAAUAGCGAACCGGCAAUUGACCUAUAUCAAAAGAGAAAUGAUUGCUUAUGGCUU